ACAGUGUGGGGGGUAGUGAGGGGGCGCAGUUAUAGCUCAGCUCCGCUUCCUGCCCCAUCUCUCUAAACAGGUCAUCGAGAACUAGUUCUCUCUUAAUGAAGCUGAUUUGGGGGCUUCAGUAUGCUCAACGCAAACCAACCCUGAUCAUCUCUAGGAGCUGAGCUGUUUUGCUGCUGAGAGACACGAGCAGUCUCUACCCGGGAGCAUUUUUUUCUCCUGUUUCCGAGCUACCUUCCUGCACUUGGCUGCUCACGGGAAUAGCUCAUGCCUCGGGUACCAGCUCUGCAAACUGUAGAAAUGAAAUCUCACGUGAGCCAGCCUCCUGCCCUGCUCCAUCCUGCCCUCAUCAGCCCUUUAAAAAUGAUUAAAACAGCAG
rnacentral:lncRNA from 1 species